GCCUAGGUGGCUCAAUCAGUUGAGCAUCUGACUUCAGCUCAGGCCAUGAUCUCACAGUCUGGGUUCGAGCCCCAUGUUGGGCU
rnacentral:tRNA from 1 species